AUGGACUCAGUCUGCAGGCACAUGAGGUCUGAAAACUUGUCCAGCCAUAACCAGGCUACCAGGACACAUGAUACUGCUAUUAAAGAACACCUAAAAAGGACCGGCUUUAAGGGCUUUGAGAAAGAAAACAGAAAUUUCCACCUUCGUUGUUCAGGUUUUUCCUUUACAGGAGUUGCUGCAGCUUCAUCACUAGGAGGUAAUGCAUCGCACAGCAAAAUCCUUUGGGACUCUAGGAUGUGGACUUCACUUGAAGACCAACGGCGAAAAUGGCUCAAGCAAAUGAAGCAAAUGUGCCUCCGACAAAAUUGUGCUGUCCUGUCCUCUGUUAUGACCAUUUUAUUAUGGUGACUGGUGAAAGAGGCAACGUUUAAUCUAAGUUCUAUGAAACUAUCUGUAAAGAAAAUAACAUAUUUUUCUACUUUGAAAGGUACGUUCCACAUGAAUUUACAUUUUUAAGUAUGUUUAAGAAUUUUUUUCCUUUUAAAGAUGGUGACAUCUGAAUCAUAAAAAUAGUCUAUCGAUGUUUAUAUUUGUGACAAAAUAUCUCUACAGAUAUAUAUGAUCACAACAGUCGUCAGUAUAUUUUUAAGAAUAUCAAAAUAGCUUUGGCUGAUGUGCUUAAAAAGUGCCUUGUUUCAUUAGAUUCUGCAGAAUGUAAAGCCCUCUUUCAAAACUGAUAUAGCAUUUCUAGUUGCAAGAUCGUUUUAUAUUGUGAACUUUUUAUUAAAUAUGCAUAUUCUAGUAGCCUCUAGAGACUUUUAAUUUAAAACAUAAAUUAUAUGUAAUUUCAAACUCUGCUAUCUCUGACUUUAGUCACAGAACUCACUUUUGGGACUGCUACACAUGGCUAACGGUAAUAUAUCAAUGCUUCCAAUAGACGUUUUAGCUAUAUGAGGUCAUUACAAAUAUAGCUUUAGCUCUUCCUUAAGUAGACCCCAUUGUUAAUAUAAAUAUGUAUCUGUAAUUAUUGACAUUUAUAUGAUUUGGCCCCUGUACUAAAUUAUUGAUACAGUGAUGAUAAAAGGGCCUUACCAACUCUUACCUAAAUAAACUGUCCUUCCUAACUACCUUCCA
rnacentral:lncRNA from 1 species